GUGAACGCUGGCGGUAGGCCUAACACCUGCAAGUCGAACGGCAGCACAGUAAGAGCUUGCUCUUACGGGUGGCGAGUGGCGGACGGGUGAGGAAUACAUCGGAAUCUACUUUUUCGUGGGGGAUAACGUAGGGAAACUUACGCUAAUACCGCAUACGACCUACGGGUGAAAGCAGGGAAUCUUCGGACCUUGCGCGAUUGAAUGAGCCGAUGUCGGAUUAGCUAGUUGGCGGGGUAAAGGCCCACCAAGGCGACGAUCCGUAGCUGGUCUGAGAGGAUGAUCAGCCACACUGGAACUGAGACACGGUCCAGACUCCUACGGGAGGCAGCAGUGGGGAAUAUUGGACAAUGGGCGCAAGCCUGAUCCAGCCAUACCGCGUGGGUGAAGAAGGCCUUCGGGUUGUAAAGCCCUUUUGUUGGGAAAGAAAGGCAGCAGGUUAAUACCCCGCUGUUCUGACGGUACCCAAAGAAUAAGCACCGGCUAACUUCGUG
rnacentral:rRNA from 1 species